UGUAGUUGCAAUUUUUAAAAACGUGCUCAUCUCGACCAUUGGGCCCAAUCUGUGUACACGUAUUCCAUAUUUGCUUGAAACCAUGAAUACGGAAGAACUAAAGCCAAGAAAGCCAUUAGUGUGCAGCAAGAAAAUGAGCAGCCCUAUCAGACAGCCCUAUCGGAGCCAAAGCCUCCAGAGGUUUGGUGACUGCGAUGAUGUGAUGAUGGAUCCAGUGAAACAACAGGAUGUACAGGUCAACUUCACAUUCAGCUCACAAACCAUCAUCUACUACACUCUCCUCUUUCUAAAGAUAGGACUGUGGAUCUGCUUCGCCUGGGUCAUGGCCCACCUCCACCUGGGCCUGCCAUGUUUCAUACUGCCACUCAUCCUCUGGUUGUAUUCAGGGCCGAUGCACAGUGCCCUGAAAUGGGCUAAAAGACGUCUGCACGGCAACAUU